rnacentral:rRNA from 1 species
GACGAACGCUGGCGGCGUGCUUAACACAUGCAAGUCGCACGGAGUGGCGAACGGGGGAGUAACACGUGGGUGAUCUGCCUUGCACUUCGGGAUAAGCUUGGGAAACUGGGUCUAAUACCGGAUAGUGCAAGAUGAGCUCGCGGCCUAUAAGCUUGUUGGUGGGGUAUUGGCCUACAAAGGCGUCGACGGGUAGCCGGCCUGGGAGGGGGUACGGCCACAUUGGGCCUGAGAUACGGCCCAGUCUCCUACGUGAGGCAGCAGUGGGGAAUAUUGCACAAUGGUCGGAAGCCUGAUGCGGCGACGCCGCGUGGGUGAUGAAGGCCUUCGGGUUGUAAACUCCUUUCGACAGGGACGCGGUACCUGUAUAAGAAGCACCGGCUAACUACGUGCCAGCAGCCGCGGUAAUUC